rnacentral:rRNA from 1 species
AUUGAACGCUGCGGCAGGCUUAACACAUGCAAGUCGAGCGAGCGGCGGACGGGUGAGUAAUGCUUAGGAAUCUGCCUAUUAGUGGGGGACAACAUCGCGAAAGGGAUGCCAAUACAGCAUACUAGUAGGUCAGCCUAAGGCGGAUUAGCUAGUUGGUGGGGUAAAGGGCUACCAAGGCGAAGAUCUGUAGCCGGUCUGAGGGGAGGAUCCGCCACAACGGGACUUAGACACGGGCAAGGUUCCUACGGGAGCAACAAGUGGGAAAUUUGGGCAAAGGGGGGAAAGCCGAACCAACCAUGGCGGGGGUGUGGAGAAAGCCUUAUGGUUGUAAAGCACUUUAAGCGAGAAAGCGUUACUCGCAGAAUAAGCAACGGCUAACUCUGUGCCAGCAGCCGCGGUAAUAC